AAAAUCGCAAAGAUACACUUCUUUUACAAAAUUAAUGUGAUGCUUUAUCAAUAUAAAGUUGAGAAAAGAAGAGUUUGCAUGGUUAUUUUAGCUUUUGGGAUCACUUGUAACUGUACUAAAAAUAAUUGCUUGAUCUUAUUAGAACGAUUAAUAUGUCAAUGUUCUGAAAUUACCGGAUGUUUGGAUAUGAGGGUGUAUGCGUGAGUGAAACGCGCUGACCGUUAUCCUAAUUGUUGUUUUUUUAUAUAAUUAUUUUAAAUAAGUUUUGUUGAAUUCCAACAUAUGUUGAAACAUCAGGAUCAUCUGUUUUUAGGAACGUCUUGAUGACGUUUUGCAUUUCAUUUAGUGAAUGGAUCCCAAUUUCAGCGGACAGAGCUAUCAGUUUUCGAAAAAUAUCCCGCAUUCCAGUCUAUGAUGACCAAGUUCUUUUACUUUUUAUUACUGCACAUUUAAUAGAUAGAUCUAAAUUUCACGGAACUUUAAUAAAACAGUACAAUUCAUUUUUUAAAUUUCAAACUUUCGAAAAAUCAAAACGUCGCCAAUAAUAAAAAUAAAAGUUAAUGCUUAUUAGUUAUUGCAGUUAUCAGAAAAAGCUGAGAUAACUAAUAAAUGUUGCCUACUUCAGCCACUAAACCAUUAUUAUUUUUAAG
rnacentral:lncRNA from 1 species